UGACUGUGAGCAGAGCCCAGGUGCAGCAGGAGCCGUCAGCAGAGACCAGCGAGGGCACCGGCAUCAACAUCACCUGCUCACACCCCAACAUACAGGCCGAUUCCAUCCACUGGUACCGUCAGUUCCCGGGCCGAGGCCCCGCAUUCCUCGUCAGCGCCUUUAAAGACUCCAAGGAGGUGGUGGACCCGGCGGGGUGGCUGUCGGUAUCGGCAGACCGCCGCUCCAGCGCCCUGUGGCUCACGCAGCCCAGGCUCGGGGAUGCGGCGGUGUAUUACUGCGCCGUGAACCCACGGGGAGAAGAGCCGGGGCUGCGGCCGGGCACGAACCUCGGAGGGCGGGGCCGGGCGAGAGUGGGAGCGUAG